ACUCCUACGGGAGGCAGCAGUGGGGAAUAUUGCACAAUGGGCGCAAGCCUGAUGCAGCCAUGCCGCGUGUGUGAAGAAGGCCUUCGGGUUGUAAAGCACUUUCAGUCGUGAGGAAGGUAGUGUAGUUAAUAGCUGCAUUAUUUGACGUUAGCGACAGAAGAAGCACCGGCUAACUCCGUGCCAGCAGCCGCGGUAAUACGGAGGGUGCGAGCGUUAUCCGGAUUUAUUGGGUUUAAAGGGUCCGUAGGCGGAUUAAUAAGUCAGUGGUGAAAUCCCAUCGCUUAACGAUGGAACUGCCAUUGAUACUGUUAGUCUUGAAUGAGGGUGCAGUGGUUGGAAUGUGUAGUGUAGCGGUGAAAUGCAUAGAUAUUACACAGAACACCGAUUGCGAAGGCAGAUCACUAACCCUAAAUUGACGCUGAGGGACGAAAGCGUGGGGAGCGAACAGGAUUAGAUACCCUGUAGGCUCUG
rnacentral:rRNA from 1 species